AAUCAACGCUGGCGGCGCGCUUAACACAUGCAAGUCGCACGAGAAAGCAGGAGCAAUCCUGUGAGUAAAGUGGCGUACGGGUGAGUAACACGUGGAUCAUCUACCUUCUAGUGGGGAAUACCCCCUGGGAAACCGGGGACAAUACCGCAUAAGCUCGAGAGAGGAAAGCAGAAAUGCGCUGGAAGAGGAGUCCGCGGCCGAUUAGCUAGUUGGCGGGGUAAAAGCCCACCAAGGCGAAGAUCGGUAGCCGGCCUGAGAGGGCACACGGCC
rnacentral:rRNA from 1 species